rnacentral:rRNA from 1 species
AACGAACGCUGGCGGCAUGCCUAACACAUGCAAGUCGAACGAGACCUUCGGGUCUAGUGGCGCACGGGUGCGUAACGCGUGGGAACCUGCCCUUAGGUUCGGAAUAACUCCCCGAAAGGGGUGCUAAUACCGGAUAAUGUCGUCGGACCAAAGAUUUAUCGCCUGUGGAUGGGCCCGCGUUGGAUUAGCUAGUUGGUAGGGUAAAAGCCUACAAAGGCGACGAUCCAUAGCUGGUCUGAGAGGAUGAUCAGCCACACUGGGACUGAGACACGGCCCAGACUCCUACGGGAGGCAGCAGUGGGGAAUAUUGGACAAUGGGCGAAAGCCUGAUCCAGCAAUGCCGCGUGAGUGAUGAAGGCCUUAGGGUUGUAAAGCUCUUUUACCCGGGAUGAUAAUGACAGUACCGGGAGAAUAAGCUCCGGCUAACUCCGUG